ACCCUGGCCUGGCCACUCCUGCUUUCACUUCUCUCCACUCCUCUUCGGCCCCGCCCCGCGGCCUCCUCCUCGCCCCGCCCCCUAUCCCUGCGCGCCGGCGGCCGUUACCAUAGCGACGUGCACGCAGUAGCCAGGCCUGACCCGCUGGUCCCCUACUGGCGGGAGGAAAGAGGCGGCACCAUGAGCCACGCAGUAACCAUCGAGGAGCCCCAGGCCCAGCCGCAGGUGUCUCAAACUCGGUACCGGGAGAGGUCGCGGGCUGGGAGCCACAUCUCCUCCAAUCGAGCGUAUGAUUUUCUGUACGAUCCAUUGUUUAUUGUGUCAAGUGAGAAAGACCACACACAGGCAAAUAUCCAAGCCACCCUGAUUCGCAGCAGACUGAGAAAAGUUCCCAGGUUUAAAACCAUGUUCAGUAACCUGAUCCAUUAUCCAAGAUAUUCUCUAUAUUGGAGCAAGUCAGAUCCUGUCCCACCAUUUAUCAGUCGGGAAUGGAAGGGACAUAAGGAGAAACACAGAGAAGCCCUCCAGCAGCUCACCACAACUGACGCUUCUUUUCAGAUGCCUAAAGAAGUUUAUGAAGAUCCUGAAGUUACUGGAAAGAAUCGCUAUAAAUACUUUGAAAGGCCUUUUCUUCCAUUUUUUCAGCAGAUGCCAUUCAAUGUUGUUUAUGCCGUAUCCAAGGCAGAACCAUACACUUUUCCUCCUACUUCUACUAAGCACCUAUCCAUCCCUUCAAAGUCUACUGUGGGCACUCAGACUGAUUAUCGGGAUGCUGACGUUCAAACAGAUCCAUACUCUCCAGAGUAUGUAGUAUGUCAGGACUCAAUCCCUGAGCUCUUGACCCUGGCUACGCUUACUUGGGGUCGGGGUCUCCCAGCAGGACAAGCUGAGGUGGAGAUGAUAGAAAGAGCCCGCGAGAAGCGUGCUUGGGAAGCCACUCUCCCCGCUCUGAGUGACACCUCCCAGUUUGAGAAGAGGAGGAAGAUGAUGAAUGAAAUGGAGAGGAAGGAGUGGGCCUUCAGAGAGCAGGAGAUUGAAAAACUGCAGGAGAUUCGCCUGGAAGUUCUAAAAGAGCUGUUGAGGAAGCGUGAAGAGAAUCAGAAUGAAGUGAAUAUGAAGCACUUGAAUGCCCGGUGGUCUAAACUGCAGGAGGGAAAAGAGGCAAAAAUGGCAAAAAUUCAGCGCACGCAUGUAUCAACAAUCAGAAAACUUGUAGGAAAGAGAAAGAAUAUAGAAGGGAAGUUGGAGAGAAGAAAUAUCAUCAAGGAUUAUUCUGAUUAUGCAUCACAGGUCUAUGGACCUCUGUCUCGUCUUGGGUGUUUCCCAGACAACAACUCAGAGGACUUUGUAGUAAAAAACUACUAUCUCAACACCUAUGAAGGAUUAGUGGAACUUGAGUCAUGUCUCCCAGAUUUUGUGACACAACCCCGAAUCAGAGCUCCAAAACCUAAAGUCAUUACCACCAAAGCUGGUUUUCUGAAGAGGACAGCAAGGUUGGACUAUGAGUUGGCAGAGGUUCAUAAGGCACUGUUGGAUAAGAAGAAUAAAGUUCUUGAAGCAAAGAAACCCCCUCGCUUCCUUCAAAGAAACCCAAUACCUCAACCUCGGCUUCCAACUCCAACCUUGGAAAUGACAUCCAAUGAAGAAGAAGAAAUAGAAAUGGCUGUGAUCUACCUUCAAAAGUUACUCCGGGGCAGAGUCGUUCAAAACAUGAUGUUUGAAGGGAAAGAAAAGCGACUGGAGUUGAUCCAGGAGUUGCGCACCUGCCACGCACUACAAGAAGAUGAAAAGCUGGUGAAAAAAGCCGAGAAGCAAGUGACCCUGGCCUUACAGCGGCAGAGGAACUUGCAUGAGCACAAGGUGUCACUGGUUGAAAACCAUUUGGCCGGACUGGAAGGAAGGGCACUAGCAGACAUGUUUGACUUCCUGUCCAAAGAGCUGGUGAGACUGCAGGAGGAGAGGAGGAUCCAUGCCUUUGUCAUGCUGGCUGAGCGCCAGCGGCGGGUACGAGAGGCUGAAGAGAGUGGUCGGCGCCAGGUGGAGAAACAGCGCCUGCGGGAGGAGGACGAGAUAUUUAAGGAGGUAGUUAAAGUUCACCAUAGUACUAUAAGCUCCUACCUAGAAGACAUAAUACUGAAUACCGAAGCGAAUACUGCAGAAGAACAAGCCAGGGCAGAAAUAGAGAAGAUGGCUGAGAAAAUCAAUGACAUUGCUUAUGAAAUGGAAAGCCGGUGUGUAUCAAGAGAACAGAUUGUAGAAUGGACAGCCCAUUUGCUGCCGAACCUAUCUUCAGUCAGAGGAGAUUGUUGCUGAGUUGGUUUAUAGUUUUCUGAUCCCAGAGGUGCAAAAAUACUUUGUCAAAGAAAAAGUGAGGAACGCACAGCGGAAACAUAUUCUUGCAGCCCAUCAGAUCAUCCACAGUUACACGGAAAGCAUGGUUCAAAAGAGAUUAACUGAGGGAGAGCAAGAUGAGGCCUCAAAUGCUGCCAUGUUACUUGAGAAAGAAACUCAAAAUGAGAACAACAGCUAAGUCCUUGGUCCAAUAGAAUGGAAUCUUAAGUCUCAAUCAAAAGGAAUCAUGGAAGGAGGGUUGAGAUGAGAGGGAAGAUUGUGAUUUUUUUGUAAAAGAAGCUGUACAAAUCAUCAUAAAUAAUUCCAAUAGUCUGCACUUCUCCCAAGGUGUGCACUGCUCAUAAACUUGCCAGUGUGUGAUUUAUGAGAAAGGAGAUUUAUUUUCCUUAAACAUCCAAUAAUUUAAAAUGAUUUUCAAUAAUAAUAAUCAAAUGAAAAAGCUUCAUUCUCUUCAGUGUCUUCUAGAUGCCCUACUUAAAGAGAACAUUUUCUUAUGUCUCAUUUCAAUAUUUUGUUAACUAUGAGGAUGUGCUGGUUUGUUGAAUCAAACAAAAGGAAAUGUUGUGGAAUAUUUUUCCAAGUAGUUUUGGUUCACUAUUCACAGGACAUUGGCAUUAUCUACUAAGGCUGAAAAUGUGCAUAUUCCAUGACUCAGGAUUUUAUCUCCUAGAUAUAUAUUCAACAGAAAUGCAUGAGUAUGUGCACCAACAGGCAUGACAAAAAUAUUUAUAGUAGUGGUGUUCACAAUAGUCCCAAACUGGAAACCCAAGUGUCCAUCUCCAUCGGAACAGAAAACUAUACUUUGGUCUGCUUCUACAGUGGCACAUCAACCCACCUUUGAGCUUUAGAUCUAAGAAGUGUGUUCAUGCAACAGCCAUAGAGAUGGUGCUAUUGAAAGGCAAUCUGCCCAUCCUGUGUAUUGACAAGCAUCAGGAUUCCAGGAGGAUUCUUCCUGAUUCAAAGACUGUCAAAUAGGAAAAAAGAAAACAGUAAAUGAACAAAAACAUCAACAUGGAGUUCAAGUAAUGAAUUUAUAGAGGAAAAUGUAUGCUACUCUGAAAACAAAGCUUAUGUUAGAGAAUAUCUUACUGUAAGAAACAAGGAAAAUUUCAGAAACAUUUGCUGAGUGUUUUUAAUAGGAGUCAAAAAGAAAGGGUCUUUUCAGAAACUGAAGUAGGAAAUAAUAACAGACAAGGUCAGAAAAUAGAUGCAGGCUGAAAAGAAAAGAAAGUGGGCUAAGAUGGGAAAAAUAUAAAAAGAUUUAAAAUCCAGCAACAAAAUUUACACAUUCAUUUGGAUGCAGUGAAAAGGGCAGAAAUAUCACAGCAGAGAAUAAAAUUGAUAAUGUUGGCAACACAUUUAUUAAGUGAUCCAACAUGGGAUGGGAAGGAAUGGGCAAAGAGAUUAAAAUGACAGAAGUUAGCUGUAGAUGACCUAUCCCACAGCAAUCAGAGUUCUUGAAGAAGAAACCAGAACAAAUAAAAUAGAAACAAUAAUCAGAGUUUAAUAAUUAAUUUUCUGAGUUUUUUUUUAAAAACUAAUUAUACAAACUUGAAAGGGUUCACCUUGCCCUAGCAAAACUAGGAUUGGGACACCUUUUUUUUCCCCCUGAGGAUCACUGACAAAAAAACACUGCACCAGUAAGGAAGCAACUAAAUUUUGUUUUGUUCUUUUAAAAAGGCUAACCUGAGCUAGGUAAAGGUUAUAUCAUUCACUUUUGAAAUAAACCAUCGAGAACACAAAAUGACAAGUGAGUUAGGUUGGGCUGAUGGGAUAGAAGGUGGGAGGGGAAUGCUAUACAGCUGGGAACAGCAGACUUUCUCUGAAGGGCCAGAUGGUAACUACAUUAGGGUUUGCGGGUCUGAUGGUCGCCAUCAUAACUGCAUACUCAACUCUGCUGUUGUAGGGUAAGAGCAGCACUCGAUGACACAGAAAUGAAUGCGCAUGACUGUGUUCCAGUAAAAUUUUAUUUUAAUUAAAAUCAAUUCAUGUUUGAAAAAGGAUUUAAAGUAGCUUCUAAUAAAGGACAUGUGUAAUGAAACUUAAAA